GGACGAACGCUGGCGGCGUGCCUAAUACAUGCAAGUCGAACGAACUCUGGUAUUGAUUGGUGCUUGCAUCAUGAUUUACAUUUGAGUGAGUGGCGAACUGGUGAGUAACACGUGGGAAACCUGCCCAGAAGCGGGGGAUAACACCUGGAAACAGAUGCUAAUACCGCAUAACAACUUGGACCGCAUGGUCCGAGCUUGAAAGAUGGCUUCGGCUAUCACUUUUGGAUGGUCCCGCGGCGUAUUAGCUAGAUGGUGGGGUAACGGCUCACCAUGGCAAUGAUACGUAGCCGACCUGAGAGGGUAAUCGGCCACAUUGGGACUGAGACACGGCCCAAACUCCUACGGGAGGCAGCAGUAGGGAAUCUUCCACAAUGGACGAAAGUCUGAUGGAGCAACGCCGCGUGAGUGAAGAAGGGUUUCGGCUCGUAAAACUCUGUUGUUAAAGAAGAACAUAUCUGAGAGUAACUGUUCAGGUAUUGACGGUAUUUAACCAGAAAGCCACGGCUAACUACGUGCCAGCAGCCGCGGUAAUACGUAGGUGGCAAGCGUUGUCCGGAUUUAUUGGGCGUAAAGCGAGCGCACGCGGUUUUUUAAGUCUGAUGUGAAAGCCUUCGGCUCAACCGAAGAAGUGCAUCGGAAACUGGGAAACUUGAGUGCAGAAGAGGACAGUGGAACUCCAUGUGUAGCGGUGAAAUGCGUAGAUAUAUGAAGAACACCAGUGCGAAGGCGGCUGUCUGGUCUGUAACUGACGCUGAGGCUCGAAAGUAUGGGUAGCAAACAGGAUUAGAUACCCUGGUAGUCCAUACCGUAAAAGAUGAAUGCUAAGUGUUGGAGGGUUUCCGCCCUUCAGUGCUGCAGCUAACGCAUUAAGCAUUCCGCCUGGGGAGUACGGCCGCAAGGCUGAAACUCAAAGGAAUUGACGGGGGCCCGCACAAGCGGUGGAGCAUGUGGUUUAAUUCGAAGCUACGCGAAGAACCUUACCAGGUCUUGACAUACUAUGCAAAUCUAAGAGAUUAGACGUUCCCUUCGGGGACAUGGAUACAGGUGGUGCAUGGUUGUCGUCAGCUCGUGUCGUGAGAUGUUGGGUUAAGUCCCGCAACGAGCGCAACCCUUAUUAUCAGUUGCCAGCAUUAAGUUGGGCACUCUGGUGAGACUGCCGGUGACAAACCGGAGGAAGGUGGGGAUGACGUCAAAUCAUCAUGCCCCUUAUGACCUGGGCUACACACGUGCUACAAUGGAUGGUACAACGAGUUGCGAACUCGCGAGAGUAAGCUAAUCUCUUAAAGCCAUUCUCAGUUCGGAUUGUAGGCUGCAACUCGCCUACAUGAAGUCGGAAUCGCUAGUAAUCGCGGAUCAGCAUGCCGCGGUGAAUACGUUCCCGGGCCUUG
rnacentral:rRNA from 1 species